rnacentral:lncRNA from 8 species
AGUGUUAUUAUUUGGUGCGGGAUAGUUCCGGUGACGGUAUUGGCUCGCCCAUAACUAUGCCACUCCCUUCUCCAAAUAGAGUAUAGAGUUCGUUGUGGCGCUGUUCAAUAACCUUCAUGUCGGGUUUAGGGGACAGCUCUGGUGAGACACACCGGACUUCAAUGAUAACGAACUGUAGCUGCCUUCCAACAAUGUUAUAACAGUUAUUUUUUAUACAGUCUAUAACAAAGUAACGUAUUAUCUCUCAUUUGUAUUUGUGAUAGAUCUAGGCAAACUUGUGGCUACUUAUAAAGACUCAAACAUCGGUAUUUGUACCCUAGUGAUUCGCGGACCGGAUAACUAUCGGUUACUGUGCGGGACACUGGCGAUUCAGAGAGGAACCAAGAUAUCAAUGAGAGUCAUCACAACCGCAGUAGAGGCCAUGCUCGCCAACUCUAA